rnacentral:rRNA from 1 species
AACGAACGCUGGCGGCAGGCUUAACACAUGCAAGUCGAACGCCCCGCAAGGGGAGUGGCAGACGGGUGAGUAACGCGUGGGAAUCUACCCAUCCCUACGGAAUAACGCAUGGAAACGUGUGCUAAUACCGUAUACGCCCUACGGGGGAAAGAUUUAUCGGGGAUGGAUGAGCCCGCGUUGGAUUAGCUAGUUGGUGGGGUAAAGGCCUACCAAGGCGACGAUCCAUAGCUGGUCUGAGAGGAUGAUCAGCCACAUUGGGACUGAGACACGGUCCAAACUCCUACGGGAGGCAGCAGUGGGGAAUAUUGGACAAUGGGCGCAAGCCUGAUCCAGCCAUGCCGCGUGAGUGAUGAAGGCCUUAGGGUUGUAAAGCUCUUUCACCGGAGAAGAUAAUGACGGUAUCCGGAGAAGAAGCCCCGGCUAACUUCGUG